UUAAGCAUAUCACUAAGCGGAGGAAAAGAAACUAACAAGGAUUCCCUUAGUAACGGCGAGUGAACAGGGAAGAGCCCAGCACCGAAGCCUGUGGCCAUUUGGUCUCUAGGCAAUGUGGUGUUCAGGUCAUCUCGCAGAGACACUGUCCCACUCUAAGUCCAGCAAUGAGAACGGCAAUUUGGACUUGGCCCAAAGAGGGUGAAAGGCCCGUGAGGGUGGGAAUCAGGAUGGCCAGUGUCUCUCUGAGCAGACCUUGGAGUCGGGUUGUUUGUGAAUGCAGCCCAAAGUGGGUGGUAAACUCCAUCCAAGGCUAAAUACUAACACGAGUCCGAUAGCGAACAAGUACCGUGAGGGAAAGUUGAAAAGUACUUUGAAGAGAGAGUAAACAGUGCGUGAAACCGCUCAGAGGUAAACAGGUGGAGUUGAACUGCAAUCUUUGAGAAUUUAAUUGGUGAGUAUGGCAUAAGCUUGGAUAUGUUGGUUGGCCUUUGAAGUCUGCUUAAGUGCAGGCCCUACUCUACGAGCGGGGUGCAUGAAGCGCUUAUCAAGUGCUGUGCGCUUCGAGGGUACAUCGGACCUGCUCGCCAGUGCACUUUCUCAGAGCAUUCACCACGACCGUUGCUGCUGUCUGUCUGCUUUGGUUGAACCGGGUCUGUAUCGUCCUUGUGGCUUUGCAGGCUCGGGAUGGCAGGUAAUCCGUUUGUGCUUGUCGCUUUCGGGUGUAAUCAGCUGGCUAUAGCAGUACAGUGCAGUGCACCGGAGACGGCGGCUUGUGGUGCGUACAUAAGUGCCUGUUCGGUCGACGGCUUUGGGUCUGGUUGUCAUGUUGCCUGUAAAAACAGGCCUGUUGAUGGCUCGGAGUCGUACGGUCGACGGUUGCUUGUGGGGCACUUUGAUGGGCCUAUAGUCUGUGGUGUAGUGGUAAACGAUCCACCUGACCCGUCUUGAAACACGGACCAAGGAGAGUAACAUGUACGCGAGUCAUUGGGCUAUACGAAACCCAUAGGCUUAGUGAAAGUAAAGGUCCGACUUUGUGCGGACUAAGGUGAGAUCCUGUCGUUUCUCACGCAUGGUACUGCCAAGCAUUCGAGCGACAGGCGCAUCACCGGCCCGUCCCAUGGCGUAGACACUGUCGUAUGACUGGUGCACCGCCGGGGCGGAGCAUGAGCGUGCAUGUUGAGACCCGAAAGAUGGUGAACUAUGCUUGCGCAGGUUGAAGCCAGAGGAAACUCUGGUGGAGGACCGCAGCGAUUCUGACGUGCAAAUCGAUCGUCAAACGUGAGUAUGGGGGCGAAAGACUAAUCGAACCAUCUAGUAGCUGGUU
rnacentral:rRNA from 1 species